CCCACGCUCCGUGGGAGCGUUCUCUGGGACGCACGGCGCCCCCUUGCUGGCUCUGCCUAGAGGCUGGGUGUUCUCGGGCUCUGGGUGGAGUGGGUGGGGCAGGCCCGGUGCGCACAGCUGUACGAAGAGAUUUCACAGGGUGGUGAGGAUGAAGUGAGUCUACGAGGCAGUAUAACAGCAGCUAAGAAGUUCAAGACACAUUUGGCGUGGCAUCCUGGCUUUCCACCUCUUCACUGUGUGACCUGGACUGCACUGCUCAACCUCUCUGGUCCUGUUUAUCUAGAAAAGGGACCAAUCAUACAUCUCCUUGAAAUAGAGAAGACACCAGCUGGGCGCGGUAGCUCAUGCCUGUAAUCUCAGCACUUUGGGAGGCCGAGGCGGGCGGAUCACCUGACAGGGUCGGGAAUUGGAGACCAGCCUGACCAACAUGGAGAUACCUGUUCUCUACUAAAAAUACAAAAUUAGCCAGGCGUGGUGGCGCAUGCCUGUAACCCCAGCUACUAGGGAGGCUGAGGCAGGAGAAUUGCUUAAACCUGGGAGGCGGAGGUUGCGGUGAGCUGAGAUCGCGCCAUUGCACUCCAGCCUGGGCAACAAGAGCGAAACUCUGUCUCCAAAAAAAAAAAAAAAAAAAAGAAUACAAAUAAGUGUACAUAACUGAAUGAAUUUUUACCAAAUGAACAUCCGUAUAACCAGCACCCAGACCAAGAGAUUGAAUAUUACUAGCACCCUGCCCCCCAUGCUCCCUUCCCUUCAGUGAAAAUCACUGCCUUGCCCUGUCUUCCUAUACUGAAGAUCAGUUUUGCCUCUUUUUAUAUUGUAUGUACUCUUUUGUAUCUUCCUGCUUUUACUCAACAUUAUGAGACAGGAAUAAUACAGGGUGGCCACAGGAGAAUUAAAUUUGGGGCAGUAGUUUCACAUGACUAGAGGCUAUGGACUUACAAGACCCUGAAAACCAGGAUGUGGGUCAAGCUGGCUAAGACCAACUGGACCCAACAUGGCGCUGGAUGUGACCAGGUUUCUCCUAGGACCUCAAUAUACACUCAUUAAUAUCCUAAACACACACCCACCAGUGUCUCGACAGUUUCAAGAACACCCAAGAUUUGGUGUACAAAUGGGUGGCACCACAGUUCCAAUAAAUCACCUUUUUCCAGGAAUUUUCGUGAAUAUUCCACCCCUUGGUUGAAGAAACCCAUAGAGGUAGCAACCUCAAACCCCCUUACACGUGACUUUUGAGUCCGCCUGCAUUCCCUUGAGUGCGUACUUUUCCCUUUGUAAUAAAUCACUGUGCUUUCACUAUU